rnacentral:rRNA from 1 species
GAUGAACGCUGGCGGCGUGCCUAACACAUGCAAGUCGAGCGAAGCACUUUGCUUAGAUUCUUCGGAUGAAGAGGAUUGUGACUGAGCGGCGGACGGGUGAGUAACGCGUGGGUAACCUGCCUCAUACAGGGGGAUAACAGUUAGACAUGACUGCUAAUACCGCAUAAGACCACAGCACCGCAUGGUGCGGGGGUAAAAACUCCGGUGGUAUGAGAUGGACCCGCGUCUGAUUAGCUAGUUGGUAAGGUAACGGCUUACCAAGGCGACGAUCAGUAGCCGACCUGAGAGGGUGACCGGCCACAUUGGGACUGAGACACGGCCCAAACUCCUACGGGAGGCAGCAGUGGGGAAUAUUGCACAAUGGGGGAAACCCUGAUGCAGCGACGCCGCGUGAGCGAAGAAGUAUUUCGGUAUGUAAAGCUCUAUCAGCAGGGAAGAAAAUGACGGUACCUGACUAAGAAGCACCGGCUAAAUACGUGCCAGCAGCCGCGGUAAUACGUAUGGUGCAAGCGUUAUCCGGAUUUACUGGGUGUAAAGGGAGCGUAGACGGAUGGGCAAGUCUGAUGUGAAAACCCGGGGCUCAACCCCGGGACUGCAUUGGAAACUGUUCAUCUAGAGUGCUGGAGAGGUAAGUGGAAUUCCUAGUGUAGCGGUGAAAUGCGUAGAUAUUAGGAGGAACACCAGUGGCGAAGGCGGCUUACUGGACAGUAACUGACGUUGAGGCUCGAAAGCGUGGGGAGCAAACAGAUUGAUACCCUGGUAGUCCAAGGGCGAAUCCACAUGGAUAUCAGCUUAUCGAUACCGUCGACCUCGAGGGGGGGCCCGGUACCAGCUUUGUCGCUUUGUGAGGGCGAGUGCGCGGGGGGCCUCUCAUGUCAAGCUAUUUGCAGGGGGAUCUCUUUUUCGGGGGGGAGGCGAAAGGCCCGCCCCUGAAUUUAGUGUGAAGAUAUAAAAAGAGAUCUGCCAAUGUCUUUUAUUACA